rfam:Ipomoea nil DNA, scaffold: scaffold2036, cultivar: Tokyo-kokei standard.
UGCCAAUGAUGAGUAUAGUUGAAUUGUGUUUAUGAGAAAUCAUGAUUACAACAAUACUACUGCCUUCCUUCUGAGGCC